rnacentral:rRNA from 1 species
UGGCAGACGGGUGAGUAACAUGUAGGUAUCUUCCCUUUGCCCUGGAAUAACACGAGGAAACUUGUGCUAAUACCGGAUAAGUCUUUACAGAGAAAGCUUUAUGCACCAUUGGAUGAGCCUGCACUUGAUUAGUUUGUUGGUGGGGUAAUGGCCUACCAAGACUUUGAUCAAUAGCUGAUUUGAGAGGAUGAUCAGCCACAUUGGGACUGAGACACGGCCCAAACUCCUACGGGAGGCAGCAGUGGGGAAUCUUGCACAAUGGAGGAAACUCUGAUGCAGCGAUGCCGCGUGAGUGAAGAAGGCCUUUGGGUUGUAAAGCCCUUUCGUCGGGGAAGAAAAUGACUGUACCCGAAUAAGAAGGUCCGGCUAACUUCGUGCCAGCAGCCGCGGUAAUACGAAGGGACCUAGCGUAGUUCGGAAUUACUGGGCUUAAAGAGUUCGUAGGUGGUUGAAAAAGUUGGUGGUGAAAUCCCAGAGCUUAACUCUGGAACUGCCAUCAAAACUUUUCAGCUAGAGUUUGAUAGAGGAAAGCAGAAUUUCUAGUGUAGAGGUGAAAUUCGUAGAUAUUAGAAAGAAUACCAAUUGCGAAGGCAGCUUUCUGGAUCAUUACUGACACUGAGGAACGAAAGCAUGGGUAGCGAAGAGGAUUAGAUACCCUCGUAGUCCAUGCCGUAAACGAUGUGUGUUAGACGUUGGAAAUUUAUUUUCAGUGUCGCAGCGAAAGCGAUAAC